rnacentral:rRNA from 1 species
CUGCCCAAAACACCUAGCUAUGCCACACCCACAAAGGGAAUUCAGCAGUGAUUAACAUUGAGCAUUAGCGCAAGCUUGACUCAGUUAAAGUAAACAGAGCCGGCUAAUCUGGUGCCAGCCGCCGCGGUUACACCACGUGGCUCAAGUCGACCUCCUCCGGCGUAAAGCGUGAUUAAAGUUAUACACCACUAGAGUAAAAUUAAAACUGAGCUGUGACACGCCUGUUUAUUAAGAAACUCGAAAACGAAAGUUACUCUAAUUAAAUCAACUUGAAUUCACGACAGCUGGGGAACAAACUGGGAUUAGAUACCCCACUAUGCCCAGCCGUAAACUUUUAUUUACACUCAAAUCGCCAGGGAACUACGAGCUAAGCUUAAAACCCAAAGGACUUGACGGUACCCCACAUCCCCCUAGAGGAGCCUGUCCUAUAAUCGAUAAUCCACGUUUAACCUCACCAUUUUUAGUUAAUCAGCCUGUAUACCUCCGUCGUCAGCUUACCCCGUGAGCGUCAAUUAGUGAGCUUAAUGUUAUUUCACCAAUACGUCAGGUCAAGGUGCAGCAAAUGAAAUGGAAAGAGAUGGGCUACACUUUCUAUAUUAGAAGAAACGAAAAACUAUUUAUGAAACCUAGUUAGAAGGCGGAUUUAGCAGUAAAAAGGAAUCAGCAUGUCCAUUUUAACCCGGCACU